rnacentral:sRNA from 1 species
GCUGGGUGUGGUGGCGCACGCCUGUAAUCCCAGAAGCUUAGGAGGUUGAGGCAGGAGGAUCAGGAGUUCAAAGCCAGUCUCAGCAAAAGCAAGGCUCUGAGCAACUCAGUGAGACCCUGUCUUUA